rnacentral:rRNA from 1 species
UACAGAGGUCUCAAGCGUUGUUCGGAUUCAUUGGGCGUAAAGGGUGUGUAGGUGGCGCCGUAAGUCGGGGUGUGAAAUUUCGGAGCUUAACUCCGAAACUGCAUUCGAUACUGCGGUGCUUGAGGACUGGAGAGGAGACUGGAAUUCAUGGUGUAGCAGUGAAAUGCGUAGAGAUCAUGAGGAACACUGGUGGAAGGCGGGCGUCUGG